rnacentral:tRNA from 1 species
GGCAUAGCGCAGUUGGUAGCGCGCUUGCUUUGGGAGCAAGAAGUCGUGGGUUCGAAUCCCACUGCC